CCUGCUUUCCGAAACUAGAGAAAACCCGGAGCAGCAAGGAAGACCCAGCACAAUGCUCCCAGCAAAACAACAUUCGCCAGAUAAUAGCUUCCUGGGGAUCUGUUUUCCCUCCCCAUCUCCUCCCUAUCCCUGGAAGGACCCCGGUGAACCCGGCCCCUCUCUUGCACCUGCUCUUGCUGCUGCUGGGCCAUCAGCCACCUCUUCCGGUCCAAAGCCAUCUGCCGCCGACGGGCCUCCCAGUGGAUUUCAGCAUCUUCAUCUGGCCCUCUGCUGACCUCUCCCUCCCCUCCUGCUUCAGUCCUCCAUCUCCUCCCCCUGUGCUAAGUCAAGAAAAUGCAAGGACUUCCCUGGUGGUCCAAUGGUUAAGAAUCCACCUGCCAAUGCAGAGGACAUGGGUUCGAUCCCUUGUCCAGGAAGAUUCCACACGCUAUGGGGCAACUAAGCCUGUGUGCCUCUACUGAAACCCAUGAGCCUAGAGCCUGGGCUCCAUAACAAGCCACCGCAAUAAGAAGCCCGCGCACCACAGCUGAAGAGUAGCCUCGGCUCUCAACAACUAGAGAAAGCCCAAGUGCAGCAACAAAGACCCAGCAGAGCCACAAAAAAAAUUUUUUUAAUUAAAAAAAAUCCAACUAA